rnacentral:sRNA from 1 species
CACUGUGGGUGGUAUGGUGUGGUUC